rnacentral:snoRNA from 1 species
ACGACCUUACUUGAACAGGAUCUGUUCUAUAGGCUCGUACCACUGUAUCCUUGAGUUCUAAGGAGACAGGAAACCAAGUCUGGUUGAUGAGACAUGGCCACUAGACCAGAGCGUGAUUAACAGCUCCCACGGCCCUCGGGUCAUGGUGUUGUAGAUGAUCGUUCUCAGCCCCUAAUUAUAGGUGUUGGGAUGGUCUAAUGGAAAAAAAGAAA